CGGGUGCGUAACACGUAAGCGACCUACCGCGGAGAGGGGGAUAGCCGGCCCAACGGCCGGGUAAUACCGCAUACGAUCUUGGGGGUGAGUGCCUCUGGGAUGAAACCUUUCGAGGGCUCUGCGCGGGGCUUGCGGCCUAUCAGCUAGUUGGCGGGGUAACGGCCCACCAAGGCGAUGACGGGUAGCUGGUCUGAGAGGAUGGCCAGCCACAUUGGGACUGAGAGACGGCCCAG
rnacentral:rRNA from 1 species